AGAGACCAUAGAGAAUCACAAUGGCCAGAGGUGACCCCAGCUGGCCCUCCAUGGCUGCUGGUAGGCACACUGACAGCAAGAAGCAGGGAGUCUAGGAUUGCGGGGACAUUUGGUAUGAACUUUUCAAAGCCCAAAUUAUGCUGGCCAUCAAGAAAAGGCACACCAGCCCCACUAUCUCCAAGAAUGUCCUUUAUUUCUGGAGGUCAGAAAUCUGACACGGAUCUUAUAGAACCACAUCAAAACACCAGCAGUAUUAUUGCUUUGCUCCUCACAGCCCUAGGAGGGACAAUCUGUUUCUUUGCCUUUCCUCUUCUCUAGAAGUUGACUUCAGCAUAUUCAGCAUCAGGAUAGGACAGAAAGAAAUAGAGAGAGGAAGGGAAGACAGAGGGGAAGAGAAAGGUAGACACCUGCAGACCUGCUUCACCGCCUGUAAAGCGACUCCCCUGCAGAUGGGGAGCUGGGGGCUCUAACCGGGAGCCUUGCUCUGGACCUUGCGCUUGGCGC